rnacentral:rRNA from 1 species
AAUCCAUAGGUUAAUGAGGCGAACCGGGGGAACUGAAACAUCUAAGUACCCCGAGGAAAAGAAAUCAACCGAGAUUCCCCCAGUAGCGGCGAGCGAACGGGGAGGAGCCCAGAGCCUGAAUCAGCAUGUGUGUUAGUGGAAGCGUCUGGAAAGGCGCGCGAUACAGGGUGACAGCCCCGUACACAAAAGCGCAUGUGCUGUGAGCUCGAUGAGUAGGGCGGGACACGUGGUAUCCUGUCUGAAUAUGGGGGGACCAUCCUCCAAGGCUAAAUACUCCUGACUGACCGAUAGUGAACCAGUACCGUGAGGGAAAGGCGAAAAGAACCCCGGCGAGGGGAGUGAAAAAGAACCUGAAACCGUGUACGUACAAGCAGUGGGAGCACAGGUUUACCUGUGUGACUGCGUACCUUUUGUAUAAUGGGUCAGCGACUUAUAUUCUGUAGCAAGGUUAACCGUAUAGGGGAGCCGUAGGGAAACCGAGUCUUAACCGGGCGUUAAGUUGCAGGGUA